AAUGUCAUCAGAGGAUAAGACUGUGGAGCCCUCUGACCAGGGACCCUCGCUGCCCUCUGUUAGUGCAGGGGCCACGUCCACAGGAAGCCCUGCCCAGACAGACAAGCGCCCCAGGGGCAGACCACGCAAGGAUGCUACCACCACCAUCGUACCCCAGGCUCUACCCACAACUACAUCCAAGACCAGGAAGAAGGGGCGUACCAGAGGUAGAGUGGUUGUGGAGGAGGAGGACAGCAGCAUGGACGGGACAGAGGCAGCCCGCGUCAGAGAGCCCCCCUCAGGACACAACAGGUCAGUCACCCCCCCCCCCCCCCCCCCUCCAUGUGAGACCUAGGUGGUCACCUUUAGUCCUGUCUAUUUUGGUCUUUGUUGAGUGGUAUGGAACUCCAGCUGAACUCAGAGCGUACAACAGCCUACUGACGAGAGUAUACAGAUAUACAGAGAGUGUUUCUGAAAAUGCAUUCUACCGUGCUCCGAUCAUGCAAAUUGGAGCACAGGAGAGUCCAAAUCAAAGUAUGCGAAAUGGAGCACGGCGGGCGCUUCUCAAAUAUAUAUUUUGAAGCAUUGAUGCUUCAACGGUAAGUAUGCAAAGAAAUAUGAAGCAACCACAUAAAAAAUGACAAAACGUUUAUUGAAAUCAAUGGCAGACAUUAUUUGAGCGGAAGCGAGAGGAUAUACAAUGACUUUGGAAUGAAAUGUUGCCUACAAUAUUUUAUCUUGAUACGUUAGUAAAUACAUGCUGUGUUAAUGUUACCUGCCUACAUACCAUAGAUAGCAAGCCCAUAAUACGUCAAUAGGGCUAACAACUAGGACUGUUAGCUUGCCAGAUAGCCGCGAAGAAUUGUUAGCUAGCUACCCGCGAAGAAUUGUUAGCUAGCUACCCACUAAGAAUUGUUAGCUAGCUACCCACGAAGAAUUGUUAGCUAGCUACCCACGAAGAAUUGGUCUAUCUUGCAUAAUAUUAGUUUUUGGUCAUUUUUGCCUGUUAACCAGUCUGGUUAGCUACAUUAUUAGGAUUCACAAACAGCUAGCUGAUAGUUAUGAAGUGAAUCAGUUUCUUCGUGUGUAUCUUGUUUAGUCUAUAUUGCCAUUGUUGUCUUGGCUGGAAGACGCUUCAGAGAAUGAGUACUGUAAGUCAAUAGGGCUAACUGGCUAGCCAUGAAGAAUUUGUAGCUACCCAUGAAAAAUGUACAGAUCUUCCUUGCAUAACAUUAGUUUUAGGUCAUUUUUGCCUGUUUAACUAGCUGGCUUGCUAGAUUAUUACGAUUCACAUAUCUAGCUGAUAAUUAUUAAGUAAAAUAUUUACUUUGUGUAUUUCUUGAUUUGUCUAUUGUUGCCAUUGUCCUGGCUAGAAGAAGGUUCCGUGAAUGAGAAGGUGAAGCGUGAGGUAAUACAGUAGGGGAGUGCGAGUGCUUCUCAAAUGUAUUGUUUAUACGUUCUCCACACUCUCGUCCUCACAAGAAUGUACUCAAGAGAACGUGU
ensembl:lncRNA